CACGUAGGGCGCAAGCGUUGUCCGGAAUUAUUGGGCGUAAAGAGCUCGUAGGCGGUCUGUUGCGUCCGCUGUGAAAACUCGGGGCUUAACCCCGAGCCUGCAGUGGAUACGGGCAGACUAGAGGUAGGUAGGGGAGAAUGGAAUUCCCGGUGUAGCGGUGAAAUUCGUAGAUAUUGGGAAGAACACCAGUGGCGAAGGCGGCUCUCUGGACCGUAACUGACGCUGAGGCGCGAAAGCGUGGGGAGCAAACAGG
rnacentral:rRNA from 1 species